CCUACGGGAGGCAGCAGUGAGGAAUAUUGGUCAAUGGGCGCGAGCCUGAACCAGCCAAGUAGCGUGAAGGAUGACUGCCCUACGGGUUGUAAACUUCUUUUAUAAAGGAAUAAAGUGAGGGACGUGGGCCUUUUUGUAUGUACUUUAUGAAUAAGGAGCGGCUAACUCCGUGCCAGCAGCCGCGGUAAUACGGAGGAUCCGAGCGUUAUCCGGAUUUAUUGGGUGUAAAGGGAGCGUAGAUGGGUUGUUAAGUCAGUUGUGAAAGUUUGCGGCUCAACCGCAAAAUUGCAAUUGAUACUGGCAGCCUUGAGGACAGUUGAGGUAGGCGGAAUUCGUGGUGUAGCGGUGAAAUGCUUAGAUAUCACGAAGAACUCCGAUUGCGAAGGCAGCUUACUAAACUGCCACUGACAUUGAUGCUCGAAAGUGUGGGUAUCAAACAGGAUUAGAUACCCGUGUAGUC
rnacentral:rRNA from 1 species